ACCCCGCCCUAAAUGACUGAUAACCCCGCCCUGAAUGACUGAGCGUUAAUGACUGACUGGCGUUAAUAUUCUGCUCAGUGAUGAAGCCGAGCAUGUUCGUGUUUUCUAGACUUCUCCAGAUGUUUUCUGCACUCGAGAGCGGACCAAAGACCUGGAGGCCAUCAGCAGAGUGAUCCAGGAGGCCCAGAGCUUCAUCUACAUCUCCAUCCCUGACUACCUGCCCCUGCUGAACCGCAGCCAGCUCAGGUACUGGUCUGGGAUUGACAGUAUGCUGCGUGAGGCUCUUCUGGUGAAGAGCGGCAUCAGUGUGCGUGUGUUGGUCAGCUGUUGGACACACACACACCCGCUGACACACAACACACUCUGGUCACUGCAGAACCUGUGCUUUCAGACCCUCAGCUGCUCAGUGGAGGCCCGCUUCUUCAGUCUCCCGCAGCCGGACACAUUGAACCGCAGCAGAUUCGUGCUGACGGACACAUCACUGUACAUCGGCAGUCAGAGCUGGAUGGGCAGUGAGUUUGUGUCCAGUGCUGGCGUGGGGCUGGUCAUCCGGCAGCAGCAGCAGGGGAACAGCAGCAGUGUGCUGCAGCGCAUCAGGGCAGUGUUUGACAGAGACUGGCACUCACAGUACAGCAGACCACUGCACACCACACACAGCCCAGCAUGCACAGCUCACACACACUCAGACUGAGCACAGCAACACACACAUCUCCUUUCUUUAUGGUCAUGUCUAUGUUUCUUCUAUAGGGUCAUGUUUAUUUUUCUUUGUUGGAAAAUGUCUCUUCUAUAUAUCUCUAUAGGGUCACGUCUCUUUUUUUCUAGUGUCAUGUAUGUGUUUCUACAGGGUCAUGUCUAUUUCUCUCUAUAGGGUCACAUCUGAUUUUCUCUCUAUAGGGUCAUGCCUUUAUAUUUAUAUAGGGUCACAUUUCUUUCUAUAGGGUCACUGUUCGUUUUCUUUGUAUAGGGUCACGACUCUAUCUUUCUAUAGGGGGUUGUCUCUUUGUCUUUCUAUAGGCCCAUGCCUCUAUCAUACUAUAGCAUUCUGUUCUGUAUAGCAUAGCAUGUUCUAUAUAGGGUCAUGAGUCUGCCUUUCUAUAGGGUCACAUCUGUGUCUAUCUGUUGACCGUAUGCUCCAGCUCUUUCUGCAGUUGUUCCUGAACUCCUGGGUUAGGCCAAAUAGGAAUAACAAAGUGCUGUAAAAGCUCAAACUACUCGCUCUACAAACAAGUGUGUUUGACCAUACAGACAAAUGUCCAGUAUAAUAACACAAUACUAGUUUGGAUCAUCAAAGAUAAGCAUGAUGAGCAUGAUGAGCUGUUCUUCCACAGUUAAAGUAGAGAUCUAAUAGCUGCGUCCGCUCGUGCAUGAAAGAAUCAGCUCAACAUGGUGGAUAUUCUGUAUAGUCACGCACCGUAUCGUUAAUCUUUUUAUAGGUGGGUUUAUUAAAUCUCUCCACAGAUUAUCAUAGUCCACCUUGUUUUGGCAUCCUGAAUAUGUGCAGAGAUCAGUGUGUGUGUACAGCAGCCUCUCACAGAAGAUGCACAAAACCAGAGUCUGAGGUAUGAACAUCUUUUAACAAAACUCAAUGGAUUUGCAACAGGAGACGUUCACUGCAUGAGGCACUUUGAUUAUUUAUGAAUGUGCAUUAUUGGGCAAAUUGAUCAAAUCAUGGUAGAGCUGGAAAGAGCCAGAAGAUUAAAAACACACCUGACUGCUGGAGACACCUGAGGAGUAAACCCAUCCAGACCACACACUCCUCCAUCCAUCUCCUCUUCCAGGAGAACAGCUGAAGAAUUCAACUAAUCGUGCCGAUUUAACCACAGAAUAAACAUCGACUGAUUCUUGAGGUAGACGAUCUGCAGAUGUACGCCACACAACUAGACGUGCUCCUUUGUACGGUGCUGAUCAGAUCAGUUGUCAGUGGCUUGUUUCUCUAACUGCUCUCUCUAGCUGGUGUAGCAGCACUUCUGCUGUGCAUUGCCUCUCCAUGCUGAACGCUUCUUCAUUUGUAGGUCACUUUGGACAGCAGCGUCUGCUCAACAACCUAAUGUAAAUGUCAAAUAUAAUAAAAACAGGAGAAGCAAACUAAUGAGGCGUGUGGGAUGUCACUGAAAGAAACUUGAAAGAGUUGCAGCACAACAUUUUCAUCAAGACACUGACACACACACACACACACACACACACACACACACACACACACCGCAGCAGGAGUGAACAUCUGCUCAUGUCUCAUCUACUGGAACAGCACAGAACACUCAGGCAGGUGUGUUGAGGCCGGUUGGAGCUAGACUCAGCAGGACUGAGAUUGGUGACCCCUGAUGAUGUGUAACGUCUUGAAGUGACAGUGCUGAGUGUGUGCAGGUUAAACGCUCUGUAAGAUGUAGUGUACAGUAAUAAUUUUCCAUAUCGAGUUUUCUUCACACGCUUUCUCCUCCACAGCUCAGCUGAUCGGGCUUUUUUCUUGCUGCCAGCCGUUAAACUGAUGUGUGUACGGUUAAUCGUCUUCCUCUGAUCCAUCAUUCAUGAACGCAGUAUUGAAUUCUGUUUCACACAGCACAUUCACCAGAACACACAGACGAGUGGAAGUGUGUAAGGCGAGAACGCUGAAGAUCAAUACUGAGGCAACACACACCAGCAGACUUACUGAAACACACACACACACACACACACACAGGUUUGUUUCAGUAUCUUAGUGAGGACAUUAUUGUUUCUCUCAGGUUCAUGAUGAUGGUCGUGGCCUAACCCUCACAGACAUCAUCAGAUCCUGAUUAAACAUCUUCUGGCUGAUUUAUGAGCACUUUUCAUUAGUGAAGCGCAGUGUCAUGCCAGCAGCAGUUUCAGAGUCCUCACAUGUAUAGCUAAACCUGUACCCGUGGGCAUCUGCACUCAGGUAAAUUACAUUAGUAGUUGAUUUAGCUUAAAUGAGGAGUGUGUUGAUGAUUCUGUGGAUUUGAGCAUGAAUAAACGCCGUCUCUCUCCCUCCUCUGUGGGCUGAUCAGGACAGUGGACACUCGUCUGUGUCGUGUUUCUGCUUGAUGAGGGAGAUUUCAGUUCCUAAUUCUGUUGCUGCAACUCCAUAAAGGCCCGUUCCAGCAACCGUAAACCACCAAUACCAGUGUGUGUGAUCUGUACGGUGGACUGAUGGUGUGCUGAAGAUGCUCCACACACACACACACACACACACACACACACACACACACACACACACACACAGGUGUCUGAGCUGGAGGAAUGAGCGGAGGCGGUGGUCUCUCUCUCUCUGAGCUCUACAGGUGAUGGUUUAUUGGGGGAUGUCAGUGAACAUCAGUGCAGGUGUGUGUGUGUGUGUGUGUGUGUGUGUGUGUGUGUGUGUGUAAUCGUACCUCAGUGUAGUUACUGUGUAGUGUUCUUAUAUUAGUGUUUAGAUCAGAUCAUGGCCAGACUUCACAUUCUACAGGGCCUGUAAUGAGCCUAGAGCAGCCGGGUAACCGUGACCAGGCUAGAGGAACAGGAAACCCCCACUGAGAUUGAAGCAGUACCCAUGAUGAGGAGUAUCGGUCAUCACUGUAGAACACCUGCUGCUGAUUUACACCACAUUACAGAAGAAACAGCGACGACACACACAUGCUUACACUCCAGUGGGCAGGGUGUGUGUGUGUGAGUGCUUGUCAUACAUGGUGAUUAAAUGAGCUCAACUGACCACACCCACUCAUCAGCUGACCACACCCAGUCAAACAUUGACCACACCCACUCAUCAGCUGAUUGGUUGUUUUAUUUUUGUGAGUUCUGAGGAUGGACAGUGCACACACACAAACUCCUGUAAGUGUUUGAACAAGGCACAAUGCUGAAGUUUACUAAGGAAACACACACACACACACAAUUAUACCUCUCCAUUUGUGAAUGUGUUUGAGAUUGUUUGAGUGUGUGUGUGUGUGUGUGUGUUGAGCUCUAAUCUCCUGUUGUGUCUCCUGUCUCUCCAUCAGCGGGUCCCGUCCUCCACUCCUCCUCUGACCGCAGCAGCGUCUCGUCUUUCCUUGAAUCAAGGAUUAUUCCUCUGGAUGGAGCAGAACACCACUGACACGAGCACAACCUGUGUGUGUGUGUGUGUGUGUGUGUGUGUGUGUGAGAGAGAGACUCAUGGCACUGCAGAUGCGUCACCAAAACCCUGAAAGACCAAAAAAUACAGGCCGUGUGUGUGUGUGUGUGUGUGUGUGUGUGUGUGUGUGUGUGUGUGUGUGUGUGCCAAAUCAUGGUGAAGAGCGCUGUGUUAGUCCAGUGUGAGCGUCUCCAGCUGCAUCAUUCCUCUUUUCAUAAAUUAAUGUGAUGUGUUCA